UACGGGGGGGGGCUAGCGUUGUUCGGAAUUACUGGGCGUAAAGGGCGCGUAGGCGGUCUGCUAAGUUGGAUGUGAAAUCCCCGAGCUCAACUCGGGAACUGCGUCCGAUACUGGUGGGCUUGAAUCCGGGGAGAGGGAUGCGGAAUUCCAGGUGUAGCGGUGAAAUGCGUAGAGAUCUGCAAGAACACCCGUGGCGAAGGCGGCCAGCUGGGCCGGAUCCGACGCUGAGGCGCGAAAGCGUGGGGAGCAAACAGG
rnacentral:rRNA from 1 species